AGUCUCUUUCCCAGCAGUGAUGCCGUCUCAGCCACCAGUUCUCUGCCAGCGGGGUCAGCACAGGCAUGGUGAGGGGGAGAGGAAGGAGCUGUCUGUAACACUGCUUAACCUCUGGCACGUGGAGUCUGAUUGCCUGGGUCAGCUGCUAUCUGUGUCUUGUUUAGCAUCCUUUCUCCUGUGUGUCCUGCCCUCUGGCCCAUCUGUCCAGCUGAUGGUGGGGUUUGCAAGCAGAGGGAUGCCUGUCUCCCAGCUCUGGCUGUGUUGCUCUAGCCCAACAGAUGCUUGGAACAAAUAAACAGGCCAGCAAGUCUUGGAGAGGUUGUCAGGCUGAGUUGAGACAUGCUGUCCCUUUUGAAAGCUGUUGAUGUACUUAGAAGGAUCAGCAUCUGGGGCCAGAUCAUCUCUGACUCUACAUUAAAGCCAGAGUUCUCAUCUUCUUCAUAAUGAUGGUAUGUACUAGUGUUUAAUGCUGCAUUCUUUUCAAAGUCCCAAGAUCACCAGCCAACAAUUAGUUAACUGGGGCCCUGCAGUCAGGGUCUUGGACUCCAAGUCCUGAGUGCUUUUCCUGGCCAAUGCAGAUUCACAACUUCGGGGGUUAGUCUCGAGAGCAUUAGAAGUCCCUCAGAAAUUGUGAGCUGUGAGGGGACUGACUGUGAUUUCACUGGGGUUACAUGUCCCUUGCUUCUUUUAGGAGAACAAGCUUGGGACACUAUUGGACACACUUCUGAGGGUUUGGAUCAGAGGGGCAGGGGCAUAUGGAGGACUGAUCCCCAGAGUCAGACCUCAACCAUGCUGGGGUGUAGAAAUGAGCCAGGCUCAGGAAUCCAGCAGACACAUGCUUUUGAGCACUGCCUCCAUUUGGCAGGUCCUAAACUUCUCUGAGCCUUGGUUUUCCUCCAGGUAAAGCGGGUAUGGCAUACAUGAUAGUGCUUGGCGUUUUGUGAGGAUGCACUGGGUGAGCAUUCAGCAACUGUAACCUCCCUUCCUAUUUCUCCCUGGCUUGUUCCUCAAGUCCCUUCUUGCAGAAAGACCACAGCCAAUCUCGGCCCUUUUCUUCUCCCUUGCCUUGGCUGCCUCUUGUUCAUGUUGGUCGGCACUCUUAACCAGCCCCCUCGUAGUCACCCGUGAGAUUGAGCACGUGGCUGCCGCACAGCCCCCCACAAACACGCUGGUAGGGGCUGAGAGGCUUGAAUGAGACAACUCCGAUUCUGUGCUCAGCAGCUCGGUGGCCGGCCUGUUGGGUGCAUGUUAACUGUGAUUAUUGUUAUGCAGGACUCACGAGGGAAAACUUCAGUGACUCACAAAGUCUUGGGGUUGGAAGGGACCUUUGCCAUCAUUCUUCCCUGUUUCCUCUUUUGGCAGAUGUGGUCUCAGAGGCAGAGUCACUUCACAUCUGGGAAUAAAUCCCAGUCCUACCUGAUUCAUUCAUUUAUUUCACCCACACUUAUUGAACACUUGCUGUGUGCACUUGCUGCUCCGAGUGUUGGUAUAUGACACAGUGCCGGCUGCUAAGGAGCCCAUGGUCUACUUAAGGGGACAGACACGUAUGGGAUGCAGUGCCCCGGGGUAAGUGCAACAAUGCUAGUAUGGGGGGCAUUUGGAGAGCGUAGAGAAAGAGCCUCCCAUACACCCUUGAAAGGCCAGCAAGUGCUUCCUGGAGUUGAUGGUACCUGAGCUAAAUAUUAAAGAAGUAGAAGCUGGUCAGAUUAUGUGGAGGUUGCUGGGUGUGAGCCCACAGUGGGUAGGUUUGCUAUUUCUGGUGAGAGAGACAAACACAAGUAUAUUCAGAGAACUAAAUGGUUUCCUGGCUGCUGCACCUGGAUUCUGGAGAAGUAGAUCUUGAGUGUGAGUUUCUAAAAAAUGAGAUAAGUUAAUGAUCUGUAAUCUCAGCUACUCAGGAGGCUGAGGCAGGAGAAUCGCUUGAACCCGGGAGGCGGAGGUUGCAGGGAGCCAAGACCGCACCACUGCACUCCAGCCUGGGCAACACAGUGAGUGAGACUCAGUCUCAAAAAAAAAGUUAAUUGGUAGAGUGAACUUUUCCUCCUGAAUGGGGCCUUGAAGGCAUCAUAGGGCAUGGCAAAUGGGUUGGGGUUGCCAGGCCUUGAUCAGAUGACUGGUGGAAACUGGCCGUGGGCUUUGAGCUGUACUUCUUGUCAGACUCUUCCCUGUGGAUUACAGAAGAGCGCUUAUAUCUCCCAAUUCACAUUUGCUAAAAACGACAACAACAACAAACCAAAAAACAAAACAAAACAAAACAAAAAAACGAAGAAUCAAACAAACAAAACACUGGAAGAAAAGGGUAAGGAACAGGGCACCAGAUAACCAGGUUGUCUUUGAGUGUGCAGAGUGUGUGGCUGAGUGUGAGCAUGUCAUCUCCCAGAGGGCAGAAUGCCUGAGGACAGUCCUACGUGGCCUGUGCAGUUAAUACAACCGUCACAAUUUUCUCAGUUACCUGCUCACUGCCCAGAGAGGACACGGUAAGUGUCACCUGGACUUCUUGGCACUUUAGGGGUUAGACGGUCACCUCGCAACAAGCCGAGGGUUCUUUUCUGAAUCAUUCCCUGUUAUAAUUCAGCAUUAAGGUUCUUGGUUGUGAAUUAAAAAAAAACAAGCAGAAGGCAAAUUGAUUGGAAGGGUAUUUGGUAGCUCUUUGCUAUCUGUGGGUAGUUGAGCACACCAGUCUGAGCACAAACAAAGGUCAGCAAGGCCCAGGGACAUCCUACCCUGGGUGCUCUGGGCUUAGGGUGUUGCUUCUGGGUUCUCACUGUUGGAUGCAACUGUCCCUGGAAACUUUUAUCACAUGAAUGGCCUCCUGAUAACCUCUAACUGAUCCUGGACUUUGCUGCAUGGACACGGAAUUAAAACCUGAGUGGAAGCCUCUGACUGGCUGUGCCCAGGUCACAUGGCCUUGCUGAGGAAGGAGAGAAGGGAACCACGUGCCCUCUUUGGCUCCCUUAAUAAAGGAACCUGUCUCCCGCCUAAUUUGAAAUGUCCCCCCCGGAAUAGGAGAGUGUUUGAAUGCUGAAUGGCCCCAAAUGCCAAGUAACUACCAUGUUUUUUGACCUUCCAGACCCGACUUUCAGACACAUUUUGCUCCCCAGCGCUGCCCACCUUUGGUUUCACAGCAGUUCUGAGGCCUGAGAAACUGAGGAGUUUUUCUGGCCACUUUUGGGAGAAGCCAUCUUUUAAAUUCUUGAUCAGUUUCUUCAGCCCCUUCCCUGGAAACAGACACCAUUUCUCUUUGAGGGAAAAGAGAAGUCAUUGCCUAUCUGUGAAGGGGAUUCCACUUCCUCUGAGAGAGCUUCCUGUCAAUAGCCUCUUCUUGUCUCAUAUUGUGUACAUCAGAGGCAAUGAAUUGAGCAGGAGGAAAGGGGCCACUUAGUCUCUGACUGUUUCAGUUUUUUCCUGCCUUGACAAAUGGCAGAAAUCAUACUGUCUCAUUGAGUAGGCCUCAAGUUAAAACACUCAGGGCCACUUAGACUAUUCUUUUCUUUUUCUUUUUAAACAGGUUUAUAAUUGACAUACAAAAACUGCACCUAUUUAAUGUAUCCAAUUUGAUGAGUUUGAACAUAUGCAUGCCCCUUUGACACCAUUACCACAACCAAGGUAAUAGACACAGCUAUCAUCUCAAAAGUUCACUUGUGUCCCCCCAUUCCUUUUUUUAAGGGAAAGAACACUUAACAGGAGACAUACCCUCUUAAUAAAAUUUUAAGUGCAUGAUACAGUAUUGUUGACUGUGCAAUGCUGUCCAGCAGAUCUCUAGAACUAAUUCACUUGUAUGACUGUAACUUUAUACCCAUUGGGCAACGGAUCCCCAUUUCCCUUCCCUUCGGCCCCCGGCAACCACCUUUUUAUUCUUUGCUUCUAUGAGCCUAUUUUAGAUACCUCAUCCAAGUGGAAUCAUGCAGUAUUUGUCCUUCUGUGCCUGGCUCAUUUCACUUAGCAUAAUGUCUUCCAGGUUCAUCCAUGUUGUCGAAAAUGGCAGGGUUUCCUUCUUUUCUCAGGCUGAAAAAUUCUAUUGUGUGUGUGUACCACAUUUUCUUUAUCCAUUCAUCUCUUGAUGGACAUUUGGGUCGUUUCCAUAACUUGACUCUUCUUAACCUUGUUGCAGUGAACACGGGAGUGCAGAUAUCUUUUGAAGAUCCUGUUUUCAAUUCUUUUGGGUAUAUACUCGGUAGUAGGGUUGCAAAUUAAAAAUGGAGCUCUCACAGACCAUUAUUUUCUUGAUCCUUUGGUGCAUUUACUUUGGGUUGCCUAGGAACUCCUCCGUCUGUGGAUUUACCUUGUAGAGUCAGAGGGGAUGAUUGGGGAACCUGCAUGGCGAUGUGGGUUUUGAGCCUCUUUGGAAUUCAAACAAUACUGAUUUACCAGAACAAGAAAAUUUGGCUUUGGCCCCAAUACAGGCUGAGAAAGUUCAUCUUUUUAAAAGGGGCCAGUUCUUGAUUAGUUAGGGUACUGGAAUGGUCCAGGGAGGGAUAACUCAGGCCAUUUGCUUUGCCUCCUUCCCUUUCUUUCUGUCUGAUCUUUGGCCAGUUCAUGGCUUUCUAAUCCUGCCACUGGGGGAUGAAGGAAGAUUAAACUUGUGCC
rnacentral:lncRNA from 1 species